AACGAACGCUGGCGGCAUGCCUAACACAUGCAAGUCGAACGAGACCUUCGGGUCUAGUGGCGCACGGGUGCGUAACGCGUGGGAACCUGCCCUUAGGUUCGGAAUAACUCCCCGACAGGGGUGCUAAUACCGGAUAAUGUCUUCGGACCAAAGAUUUAUCGCCUUUGGAUGGGCCCGCGUUGGUUUAGCUAGUUGGUAGGGUAAAAGCCUACCAAGGCGACGAUCCAUAGCUGGUCUGAGAGGAUGAGCAGCCACACUGGGACUGAGACGCGGCCCAGACUCCUACGGGAGGGAGCAGUGGGGAAUAUUGGACAAUGGGCGAAAGCCUGAUCCAGCAAUGCCGCGUGAGUGAUGAAGGCCUUAGGGUUGUAAAGCUCUUUUACCCGGGAUGAUAAUGACAGUACCGGGAGAAUAAGCUCCGGCUAACUCCGUG
rnacentral:rRNA from 1 species